UACGUAGGGACCAAGCGUUGUUCGGAUUUACUGGGCGUAAAGGGCGCGUAGGCGGCUUACAUAGUCAGGCGUGAAAUUCCUGGGCUCAACCUGGGGGCUGCGUUUGAUACGUGUAGGCUUGAGUUCGGAAGAGGGUCGUGGAAUUCCCAGUGUAGAGGUGAAAUUCGUAGAUAUUGGGAAGAACACCGGUGGCGAAGGCGGCGCUCUGGACCGAGACUGACGCUGAGGCGCGAAAGCGUGGGGAGCAAACAGG
rnacentral:rRNA from 1 species